rnacentral:lncRNA from 1 species
UUACUUAUUUUUAAAUUGUGUUUUGCCUGCAUGUAUGCAUGUCUGUGUGAGGGUACCAGAUAUUGGAGUUAUAGAGGGUUGGGUCUUCUGGAAGAGCAGUUGGUGCUCUUAACUACCAAGCUAUCUCUCUAGGUCCACCAUGUGGAUACUGGGAAUUUCAUCCAGGACCUCUGGAAGAGCAGUCAGUGCUUUUAAUUACUGAGCCAUCCUUCUAGCCCCAAUUUCAUUAUCUUUUUUUAUUUUUAUUUAUUUUUAUUUUUUAUUUUUUAUUUUCUUAGUGGUGGGCACACUGGCAUGCACCCCAGCAUUUGGAAGGCAGAAGAAGGAGAAUCUCUGUGAGUUCAAAGCCAGCCUGUUCUCCAUAGUGUAGUUCUAGGACAAUCAGGGCUACAUAAACCCUAUGUACACAAAUACAAUUCUUGCUCUAUUUACCUAUUUUGUGUGUCUGUGUGUCUGUGUGCAUGUCUGUGUGUGGUCCACUUGGAGAUCAGAGAACAAUUUGAGAGCAUUAGUUCUCUCCUUCCAACAUGUGGGUUUCAGGGUUGGAAAUCAGGUUUUCGGGCUUGAUAAGCAAUGUCUUAACCUGCUAAGCCUUUUGGCCAGUCCUGUUUUGAUUUAGUCUUUACUCUUUUCAGUGUUUCUUACCUCUGUAUAAAUACUUGUAUUCUUUUGCUUUUAAAUUCUUUUCCUCUUUUGUUCUAGUUUUAGAGUUGUUGACUCAGUAAGGUUUGAAAGGAGAUUGAUUAAAUAAUCAUACAAAUAUGGUUUGAUAAUUUGGUCAGGAUAAAAAAGGGAAGUUGCUUGUUAAGAUCUUCUGUAAUGUUUGUACAGGUCACUUACUAGGUAUCAUAGAGGAGAAUUUAAUUGCUGCUAAUCUGUAUUUUCAUACCUAGAUUUUUCUGUAGUGAAAGUAUGCAUUGAGUGAUUGAGUCAGUGAUUUGCAUUUCAUUGUUUACUUGGAAGAAUAGUAGUAUGUAUGUAUUCAUUUUAUUUUGAGGUAGGGUGUUGUGUAUGCCAGGCUGGGUUAUAUAGCCAAAACUGGCCUUGAACUCCUGACAUGCUACCUCCACCUCCCAAGUACAGGAAUUACAAGCAUGCACCAUUAUGCUUGGCUUUUUUUGGUUAGUUUUCUUGAGACAUAAAAUCUCACUGUGUAGACCAGGACAGCCUGAAACUCACAGAACUUCUCCUCCUGCCUUUGCUCCUCAAGUGCUUAAUUAAAGGAGUAUAUCACCAGGCUUAGUUGGCUUUUUAUUUACUUUUUUUUAUUAUUAUUUUUUGAGCUAGGAUCUCAUGUAACCCAAACUUGCCUAGAACUCUUGGUAUAGCCGAGGAGAAUCUUAAAUUCCUUAUCCUUCUACCGCUACCUCUCCAAUGCUGAGAUAUUACAGGUAUAGACCAUUAUGCACUGUUAACAUUCUGUUUGUUUCACACUUUUCUUGGUAUGGAUUAAAGGGUGCUUCUAGGGAUACUAGCAAAGUUAUGUGAUAGAGAGAAGUGAAUAAGUGUAUUUUAGUAAGUAUGAGGAAAAAAUCCAGUCAGAAAGAAAAGUGAUAAGUGUUUUGUUAAAAACAUUGAUCUAGCUGGGCAAUGGCAGCAUUGCUGCUUUAAUCCCAACACUCAGGAGGCAAAGGCAAGCAGAUCUCUUGAGUUUGAGUUCAAGGACAGCCUGGUCUAUAGGACAGCCAGAACUACACAGAGAAACUCUGUCUCUAAGUAACUAACUAACACUGAUCUAAUGUGAUUAUAGGUAUUAAUCCUAGCACUUGAAUAGUAGAGGCAGGAAGAUCAGGAGUUCAAAGUUGGCCUGUAAUUACUAGAUAAAACAUUUGAGGUCAUCCUGGGCUACCUGAGAUUCUGUCUCCAAAUACCAGGAUUGGCAAAAUAUCAUGGCAGUCAAAAUGCUUGCUAUGAAGGCCUGGUGACCUGAGUUUAAUCUCUGAACUCCAUGUAAAGAUGUAAGGAAAGAACCAAUUCCCAAAGUUACCUUCUGACCUUCAUGUCUGUAUUGAUGCAUCAUACAUACAUAUAUACAUAUCAUAAUUUUAAAAAGAAUUUAAAGCAAAACAAAAACCUGUGCUCAUUUUUGGAUUUUUCUUCUUUUUUUAAUAUUUAUUUUGUGUGUGCAUACACUGCUACAACUUUUUUUAAAAUAAUUUUUAAAAUUUAUUUAUUACAUGUAUAUGAGUACAGUGUAGCUGUCUUCAGAUACCCAAGAAGAGGGCAUCAGAUCCCAUUACAGAUGGUUGUGAGUCACCAUGUGGUUACUGGGAAUUGAACUCAGGACCUCUGGAAGAGCAGUCAGUGCUCUUAACCGCUGAGCCAUCUCUCCAGCCCCCUGCCACAGCUUUUGAGUAGAGGUUUGAGGACAGCUUGAAAGGGUCAGUGCUCUCCUUCCAACUCUGUGAGCUCCAGGGGUUGACUCGGACUGUGGAGGCAGACACCCUAACUUGCUGCGCUGGCCUGCAUGCAUUUGUUUUCAUCCUGCUGUUUUGGAACUGGGCCUUGGUUUUGUGUGUGAUUUUUGUUUGUUAGUUUGAUUUGCUUGUCAAUAUUGUAAUCUUUGUUUUUUGUUUUUAAUUUCUAUUUCUAAUGGUACUGCUGCUGAUUUUACUUCAGUCUGCCAUACAAUUUAAAAUUGUUCCCGUCUUCAGAGAGCUUUCUUCCUUUAGCUCUAGCCCUCCAGAAGGAGGUGAAAAUUGUACUGUAAAGUAUUUUAUAGCAAGAAUAGUUAGGAUCCCCAAAAUAGUGACUUUCUUGGCAGUUAAAAGGUAGAAAGGCUCCACUUUGUGUUAAUUUUAGAGCAGUCUACAUUACUUGCUGCUUCUCUGUAGGAGUUAGAGCCUGCCCCAGCAUUGAUUGUCUUGAGGCUUCUGGAUAAGUGGUUGUGAAAAGAAUCUUCAUUCCUGCCAGGCAGUGGUGGCGUAAGCCUUUUUUUUUUUUUUGUCCCAGCACUUGGGAGGCAGAGGCAGGCAGAUCUCUGAGUUUGAGGCCAGUCUGGUCUACAGAGUGAGUUUCAGGAUAGCCAGGGCUACACAGAGAAACCUUGUCUGGAACCCCCCUCCCCCC